rnacentral:rRNA from 1 species
GGAACACGUGAGAAACCUGCCUUUCAUUCUGGGAUAACACCGGGAAACCGGUGCUAAUACCGGAUAUGAGCCUGGAAGACAUCUUCUGGGUUGGAAAGUUUUUCGGUUAGGGAUGGGCUCGCGGCCUAUCAGCUAGUUGGUGAGGUAAAAGCUCACCAAGGCGACGACGGGUAUCCGGCCUGAGAGGGCGACCGGACACACUGGGACUGAGAUACGGCCCAGACUCC